UCCAGACUCCUACGGGAGGCAGCAGUGGGGGAUAUUGCACAAUGGGGGGAACCCUGAUGCAGCGACGCCGCGUGGGUGAAGGAGCGUUUCGGCGCGUAAAGCCCUAUCGGCAGGGAAGAAGGAGGACGGUACCUGACUAAGAAGCCCCGGCUAACUACGUGCCAGCAGCCGCGGUAAUACGUAGGGGGCAAGCGUUAUCCGGAUUUACUGGGUGUAAAGGGGGCGCAGACGGCAGCGCAAGCCAGGAGUGAAAGCCCGGGGCCCAACCCCGGGACUGCUCUUGGAACUGCGCGGCUGGAGUGCAGGAGGGGCAGGCGGAAUUCCUGGUGUAGCGGUGAAAUGCGUAGAUAUCAGGAGGAACACCGGCGGCGAAGGCGGCCUGCUGGACCGUAACUGACGUUGAGGCUCGAAAGCGUGGGGAGCAAACAGGAUUAGAUACCCCGGUAC
rnacentral:rRNA from 1 species